rnacentral:rRNA from 1 species
GACGAACGCUGGCGGCGUGCUUCAUACAUGCAAGUCGAGCGGGAUCCAUCCAGUGGCAACACUGGUGAAGAUCUAGCGGCGAACGGGUGAGUAACACGUGAGGAACCUGCCCCAGAGACCGGGAUAACCCUCCGAAAGGAGAGCUAAUACCGGAUACCCCCACCGGAUCGCAUGGUCUGGUGAGGAAAUGGAUUCCGCUCUGGGAGGGCCUCGCGGCCUAUCAGCUUGUUGGUGAGGUAACGGCUCACCAAGGCUUCGACGGGUAGCUGGUCUGAGAGGACGGUCAGCCACACUGGGACUGAGACACGGCCCAGACUCCUACGGGAGGCAGCAGUAGGGAAUCUUGCGCAAUGGGCGAAAGCCUGACGCAGCAACGCCGCGUGGGGGAUGAAGGCUUUCGGGUUGUAAACCCCUUUCAGCAGGGACGAUUGUGACGGUACCUGCAGAAGAAGGACCGGCCAACUACGUGCCAGCAGCCGCGGUAAUACGUAGGGUCCGAGCGUUGUCCGGAUUUAUUGGGCGUAAAGAGCUCGUAGGCGGCUCAGUUAGUCGGAUGUGAAAACUCGGGGCUCAACCCCGAGACGCCAUCCGAUACUGCUGUGGCUUGAAUCUGGUAGGGGAGCACGGAAUUCCUGGUGUAGCGGUGAAAUGCGCAGAUAUCAGGAGGAACACCGAUGGCGAAGGCAGUGCUCUGGGCCAGUAUUGACGCUGAGGAGCGAAAGCGUGGGUAGCAAACAGGAUUAGAUACCCUGGUAGUCCACGCCGUAAACGUUGGGCACUAGGUGUGGGUCCCUAUCGACGGGAUCCGUGCCGUAGCUAACGCAUUAAGUGCC